rnacentral:lncRNA from 1 species
AAACAUUCACUCAUGAGCUAGGGCUGACUUUUGCAAAACAAAGACAUAGCAGGCUUCCUUCCUCCCCACCACACGCUGACCCCUUCUUACCACCUCCCUCGUACAACUUGUCCGGUUGACGGAUUGCGCAGUCGGUCCCAAACGUGGUUAAGAAACUUGCUCCGUUAACAGCAAAUAAUUCUGCCCGAGGGGAGCAGGAAAAGCAGCAACAGAUUUUGAUCUGAGUCUGGGAGAAAAAUGGUCAUUUGGGAGGAGAAACAAAGCCAGAAGUGGCGAGGCAAGCGCAGGACGCUGUCCAGCUGGGGAGGGCAUGGUAUGGUUCAGACUCCAGGGCCUGGGCAGAAGGUUCCCUGGGCUCCGAAAAUGGAGCUGGAGAGACAACAGGCCCACAUUCUGAACAUUCAUAAAGGCCAUGUGAAGAAUUAGAGCUCCAUCCUGACAGGAGAUAGAGGCCAUAGGAGUCUUCAGCAGAGGACCGAUGUGAAAUUCGGUUCUAGAGCAGCAAGUCUAGAACCAGAGCUUUGACACCGCUGGAAAGGGAGGACCGGGGCAGAGACCUGCUUGGGAGGUUGGCAAGAGACACGAGAAGCAAGACACGAGAGUGCAAGCAGCACGAGCUAGGAGCUGGGGUCACACUGAGGACCAUUGCUCAGGCGCAUGUGGCAAGAUGCAAAAAUUGAUUAUGUGUGGAUGGGGCGAGACCGUGUUCUAGCGGAGAGUAAUCAAGAACAAUGCAGGUCUGCGAAGAGUUUCCUUUGUGAGGCGGUCAGUUUCAGAUGUGUAAAGGACACUCCCUGGAAACAAUCUCAUCACCUUCCAACGCCAAGCUCUCCAUGGCCAUCCCAAGACCAAAUGGUCUUUGAUUUCUCAGUGUCUGACACCGGAUUCGGCAGGCAGGUGCCCCUCUGGCAACGUGCGUGGGACAAGUGAACGACAUUCCCGUG